rnacentral:lncRNA from 1 species
GUGAGUUCACAAUGCAUACAAGUGAUACAUAGUCCAGGCAAGUUCUGCGAGCAGUUCAGUGAUAGCUAUUGCAGAAGCUGUCGUUUGGUUUUAUCUUUGUCUUCACCGGCACUGGGAUGGUGAUAGGAAUUCUGGCAAUGAUGGCUAAAGAAAAAAUUAUGUAACAUUCCAGCAGGCACUAAAAGAAAGCAAUUUUCUGAACAAUUACAUUAUCCUGAACAGAAUUAUUAAAUAUAAUGAAAAGGAAAGGUGAAAGUAAACAAAUGAAAAGGAAAGGUGAAAGUAAACAAAUGAAAAGGAAAGGUGAAAGUAAACAAACAGAUCUGUUAACCUCCUUUUUUGUUCACAUAUUAAAACAAUCCUCAACAGCUGUUUACCCAAUUUAAAUUAAACCAUUUAAAUCAUGUGAAUAAGAAAAAAAUAUUUGGAUCCAUUUUUUCAUGAGUGCUCGUCAUAUAUGAUAUACGGACAUUCGCACAUACAAACAUACAACACAAAACACAAGUGUGCACACAUAAUAUAAUACAUACAACACAUAACAUAAUAGUAAAGGCCUUGUACCUUUUUCAGGUGGAAUCUCCAUUGCAAUGUUUCCACAUCUCUCCCCACUGGAGCCAUACCAUCCAGUUCAUCAUCAAAUUCUGCAAACUGGGAAAACUCUCUCCGAUGGUGUUCUGGAAAUGCCCAAUGAGCAUCAUCACAGAGGAGCCAAUCAGCUGGAAGUUUUCUGGGGCCACUUUGGCUGCGGCUCUUAACACACCAGCAGCAGAAGUCUGCAGAGAUCACUAAGAUAAAAUAGUAAGACUAAUAAAACUCUAUACAACUUUGAAAGAUUAAUGCCAGUUAAGGGCAUUUACAGUGGCAGAGUCAGAAAUAUCCAUUACACAGUCUGUGGGCACCCCAGUGCACAUGUGUAGAAGCAGGGGCACACAGUGGCAACAGGAGAUACUCCCGUCCUGCUUGGAGACCCAAGGCUGUGCUCCACUUUCCUUGCCUCUGCCUCUGACAUCCUUUCAGCUUUCAUCCCUAGAUGAGGGGGCAGCUUGUGAGGUUGAGUGUUCCAGGCUGAGGGCACAGAGAGCUCAGCUCCAGGAGGCCAUGGUAAGCAUGGCUUUGGCAGGCAGGAGAUGUGAAAGGUAGCCAGAUGGAGCUGGGAGAUGCAAGACCACACAAUAUUAAACAAUUGAAGAGAUUGAACCAGGUCAUAUUUCUAGUAAGCUCUAAUGACAGGAUGUGCUAGAGCUUUACCAGCCAAUCAAAAUUGCCUAUUUCAAUGAUAUUGUUAUAGGUGCAGUGUGCUGCAGAGUGGAUCAUUCACAGGAUCAGAAGAGACGAGAUCAGAAGAGAAGAGAUGUCUUGCACAUUACCGAAAGCUAGGAAUAGGAACUAAAAUGUUAAAUAAUGCCUUAAAGAUCUGUGGAAAAGAUGGCACUUAUUUUGGCGGGGGGAGUACUGGGCAUUGAACUCAGGCACUGGACCACUGAGCCACAUCCCCAGCCCUAUUUCGUAUUUUAUAUAGAGACAGGGUCUCACUGAGUUGCUUACCUCCCUCCUUACUUUUGCUGAGGUUGAACUUGUGAUCCUCCUAUUCCAGCCUCCCAAGCCAUUGGGAUUACAGGCAUGCACCACUGCACCAGGCAUGAUGGCACUUUUGACAACAUCUGUUUACAUGUUUGGAUCAGCAAUGAGCCAGUAAUUGAUUUCUACAGGAAGUUUGGCUUUGAGACUAUUGAGAUGAAGAAGAACUACUGUAAGAGGAUAGAAACUGCAGAUCAUNUGUAAGUUCCUUAAAUAAUCCAAAUAUAGGCCUAGAAG